ACAGAAGAGCAGAUUGAAAAGAAGCAUUAUUAGGUUUGGCAAGACAGAGAAUAUGGGAAAAAGUUAGCAAAAAAGAUGAGAAGCAAAGUGAGGGAGAUUGGUGUGCAUCACUUUCUUCCAAUUUCUCUUUUGGAGGCUGCUGGAUCACCACGAUAGCCACCAAUUUGUGAGUAUUAUAAACAAACAAAACUUUUAUAUUAUAUUAUAUUAUAAUUCCUAGCUAGUGUUGUCACGAGUCACGUACUUUAAUGAAACUUAUGAAUGUAAAUAUAUAAAAAAAUGAAACAUUGGAGCCCUUAAGGGAUAGGGUGUGGACCAGUCUUAGCAUCAACUUCUUGUGGUGACAUAGAUGGAUGAUGGUUUUUUUGUUUCCUCUCACACUUUUAAAUCAAUUUAAGAGUACUUCUUUGGCUUUACUCACCAUCUUCAUGAUGUGAUUCAAUUCAAUAUUUUUAUUACUUCUUUGCCUUUUCUUUUUUUCUUUUCCUUUCAAGCACAAGUGGAAACCCAUGAAAAAUGCACCACCAUGAUUUUCUGUAACAAGUGACGCAAUUUGAACUGUUGUAGGUCUCUUUCAUAGACCAAGCACAAGCCAUUGAAAGCAAAAAAGAAAAACAAAUAUGAUCCAUUUGGUGCCAUUUUCUUGAGUAAUUCAUUGUAUAAUCAGCUAUUGUCAGCAUUAAUGUUUAGGGCAAUGACCCAAAUGGCACGCAAGCAUGCUUUACAAGUUCAUCACACAACAAUAUACAAAGAAAUAAAAUACAAGAACAAACCUUAAAAAAAAUCACAUUUUUUUAUCAAAAUGAAAUUUCAAUUUCAACUAAAAAGACAAGAAAAAAUAUUUAAGUGAUGGCCUUCAAUUUUCUGGAAAGUUGACCUGAAGGUAACCUACAUCAUCACAUGCUAAUGCAUGCCUUCCAUAAAUGUUAUAUAGUUUAAGAUUAAGUGAUUUCUAUUAU
rnacentral:lncRNA from 1 species